GACACGGUCCACACUCCUACGGGAGGCAGCAGUGGGGAAUAUUGCACAAUGGGCGCAAGCCUGAUGCAGCCAUGCCGCGUGUAUGAAGAAGGCCUUCGGGUUGUAAAGUACUUUCAGCGGGGAGGAAGGCGAUGAGGUUAAUAUCCUCGCCGAUUGACGUUACCCGCAGAAGAAGCACCGGCUAACUCCGUGCCACCAGCCGCGGUAAUACGGAGGGUGCAAGCGUUAAUCGCAAUUACUGGGCGUAAAGCGCACGCAGGCGGUCUGUCAAGUCAGAUGUGAAAUCCCCGGGCUUAACCUGGGAACUGCAUUUGAAACUGGCAGGCUA
rnacentral:rRNA from 1 species